rfam:Camelus ferus unplaced genomic scaffold scaffold471, whole genome shotgun sequence.
GAGGGUACAGCUCAAGUGGUAGAGUGCAUGCUUGGCAUGUACAAGGUCCUGGGUUCAAUCCCCAGUACCUCCU